UUUCUGGGUGGGGAGCCUCUGGGGAAAACCUCCAGGAAAUAAAAAAGUCAUAAAGGAGGUUGUACUUGGUUAAGAGAAUGUAAUUCGAGCCCCAGAAACAGAUUAUUUAGUAAAUAGUAAUUUUCUCCUGUAUUGGGCUCAAUCGGAGUUUGUUUUUUGAAACAUUAAUUCAUAACUUCUGUCUAGGGACCUCUCCAUAGUCGAGAUGGGUCAUUUCAGGUGUAAUGAACGCAGAAGUUUGGAAGGCAUAGACCUAAUAAAAUCGGGGGAAGUGAUCCUCCGACUGUGAAAAACCAAACCUCUGGCUCCCUGGCUCCCUAGGAAUCAAGGAACUGCACAGACUGAAAAUCAUGGAGGAAAGGAACAAUACCAAGGAUGAGGAUUAGCAUCUGCAAAUUGAACUCUAUCUAAUUUACAUGUUUAUUUCUUAGAAUUGUAAUUAAAUUUGUGUAAUAAAUGUUUUCCAUUUCAUUUGUACACUUAAAAUUUGGAUGACUGACAUGCAGUUAACUGAAUUUCUUCCUUUUUUUUUUUUUAAAGCAAAUGUAGUUUAUUCAAUAAAGCAGCAAACAAAUAUUAAACAUAAUUAGAACUAA